CUACGGGGGGCACCAGUGAGGAAUAUUGCACAAUGGGGGGAACCCUGAUGCAGCAACGCCGCGUGGAGGAUGACGCAUUUCGGUGUGUAAACUCCUUUUAUAUGUCAAGAAAAUGACGGUAGCAUAUGAAUAAGCACCGGCUAACUCCGUGCCAGCAGCCGCGGUAAUACGGAGGGUGCAAGCGUUACUCGGAAUCACUGGGCGUAAAGGACGCGUAGGCGGGUUGGAAAGUCAGGUGUGAAAUCCUACAGCUUAACUGUAGAACUGCACUUGAAACUUCUAAUCUAGAGUAUGGGAGAGGGAGAUGGAAUUAGUGGUGUAGGGGUAAAAUCCGUAGAUAUCACUAGGAAUACCUAAAGCGAAGGCGAUCUCCUGGAACAUUACUGACGCUAAGGCGUGAAAGCGUGGGGAGCAAACAGGAUUAGAUACCCUAGUAGUC
rnacentral:rRNA from 1 species